UACGUAGGGAGCGAGCGUUAUCCGGAUUUAUUGGGUGUAAAGGGUGCGUAGGCGGUCCGGAAAGUCAGCGGUAAAACUUCGGGGCUCAACCCAUAAACUGCUCUCAAAACUGUGUCCCUUGAGUAUCGGAGAGGCAAGCGGAAUUCCUAGUGUAGCGGUGAAAUGCGUAGAUAUUAGGAGGAACACCAGUGGCGAAGGCGGCUUGCUGGACGACAACUGACGCUGAGGCGCGAAAGCGUGGGGAGCAA
rnacentral:rRNA from 1 species